rnacentral:lncRNA from 1 species
AUCCUGUUGCCUCUAAGUCAGUAGAAUGAAGAGCUGUGUCCAGGGACACACCACACCGUGCUGAAGGAGACUGCUGCUGUGUCCACCUCUUAUUCAUAGACCCAGUCAUGAGCACAAGACUUGUAGUCAACCAGUUCUUCAGGCUUAAACCGUAGGCUGAUUUCUUUUUCAGCACUUUUUACUGAAUCACUGCCAUGAAUGAUGUUCCUGCCAACCUGAAUGCAAAAGUCCCCACGAAUGGUGCCUGGCUUAGAAUCUGCUGGAUUGGUCUCCCCAAGCAUCACUCGGCCUGUCUUCACGACGUUCAGCCCCUCCCAGACCAUGGCCACGACCGGCCCUGAGUUCAUGUACUUCACCAGCCCAGGGAAGAAUGGGCGGUCCUUCAGGUCAAUGUAGUGCUGCUUCAGGUGUUCUUCAGAGGCCGGGAGGAACUUCAUGGCCACGAGGCGGAACCCCUUCUGCUCGAAGCGCUUGAUGAUCUUGCCCACCAGGCCGCACUGCAUGCUGUCCGGCCUGAUGGUGAUGAAGACACAGCCUCACUCUGUCCUCCAGUCUGGAGUAUAGUGGCACACUGCAUUCUUCACCUCCUGGGCUCAAGUGAUCCUCCUACCUCAGUCUCCUGAGCAGCUGGGACUACAGGCGCCCACCACCAUGCCCGACUAACUUUUUUCGUAUUUUUUUAGAGAUGGGGUUUCACCAUGUUGCCCAGGUUGGUCUGGAACUCCUGGGCUCAAGCAGUCCACCUUCCCUGACCUCCCAAAGUGUUGGGAUUACAGGCGUGAGCCACUGCACCCAGCCUUGUAUAAGUACCUUUUUUUUUUUUUUUUGAGACGGAGUUUCACUCUUGUUGCCCAGGCUAGAGUGCAAUGGCUCAAUCUCUGCUCAACACAACCUCCCCCUCCGGGUUCAAGUGAUUCUCCUGCCUCAGCCUCCCGAGUAGCUGGGAUUACAGGCGUAAGCCACCACGCCUGGCUAAUUUUUGUAUUUUUAGUAGAGAUGGGGUUUCACCAAAUUGGCCAGGCUGGUCUCGACCUGCUGACCUUGUGAUCCGCCUGCCUUGGCCUCCCAAAGUGCUGGGAUUACAGACGUGAGCCACCGCGCCGGCCUGUAUAAGUAUCUUAUAAUCAUAUUGUAUCCCACUUUUUCCCACAAAUGAUACACACGUUACCUACAUCGUUCAGUGUUAUGUUUUCAGAUCUUGGAAGCUGUUUCGUUUCAGUACAUUUGAGCUUCCUGGGAUCUUUUCUGUGGCUACAUAAUUUUCCGUUGUAGAACUGUAUGUGAUUUAAUUAAAC